UACGUAGGGUGCAAGCGUUGUCCGGAAUUAUUGGGCGUAAAGAGCUCGUAGGCGGUCUGUUGCGUCAGCUGUGAAAAACCCGAGGCUCAACCUCGGGCCUGCAGCCGAUACGGGCAGACUAGAGUUCGGCAGGGGGAGACUGGAAUUCCUGGUGUAGCGGUGGAAUGCGCAGAUAUCAGGAGGAACACCGAUGGCGAAGGCAGGUCACUGGGCCGCAAACUGACG
rnacentral:rRNA from 1 species